rnacentral:rRNA from 1 species
GACGAACGCUGGCGGCGUGCUUAACACAUGCAAGUCGAACGAAGAGCGAUGGAAGCUUGCUUCUAUCAAUCUUAGUGGCGAACGGGUGAGUAACGCGUAAUCAACCUGCCCUUCAGAGGGGGACAACAGUUGGAAACGACUGCUAAUACCGCAUACGAUCUAAUCUCGGCAUCGAGGAUAGAUGAAAGGUGGCCUCUACAUGUAAGCUAUCACUGAAGGAGGGGAUUGCGUCUGAUUAGCUAGUUGGAGGGGUAACGGCCCACCAAGGCGAUGAUCAGUAGCCGGUCUGAGAGGAUGAACGGCCACAUUGGGACUGAGACACGGCCCAGACUCCUACGGGAGGCAGCAGUGGGGAAUCUUCCGCAAUGGACGAAAGUCUGACGGAGCAACGCCGCGUGAGUGAUGACGGCCUUCGGGUUGUAAAGCUCUGUUAAUCGGGACGAAAGGCCUUCUUGCGAAUAGNGAGAAGGAUGACGNAC